rnacentral:rRNA from 1 species
UGGGGGAUAUUGGACAAUGGGCGAAAGCCUGAUCCAGCCAUGCCGCGUGUGUGAAGAAGGUCUUCGGAUUGUAAAGCACUUUAAGUUGGGAGGAAGGGCAUUAACCUAAUACGUUAGUGUUUUGACGUUACCGACAGAAUAAGCACCGGCUAACUCUGUGCCAGCAGCCGCGGUAAUACAGAGGGUGCAAGCGUUAAUCGGAAUUACUGGGCGUAAAGCGCGCGUAGGUGGUUUGUUAAGUUGGAUGUGAAAUCCCCGGGCUCAACCUGGGAACUGCAUUCAAAACUGACUGACUAGAGUAUGGUAGAGGGUGGUGGAAUUUCCUGUGUAGCGGUGAAAUGCGUAGAUAUAGGAAGGAACACCAGUGGCGAAGGCGACCACCUGGACUAAUACUGACACUGAGGUGCGAAAGCGUGGGGAGCAAACA